GUCCUGUCCGAAGCUCCGUCUGGUGGUUCCGUCGAGGUUCGAGUUUUGGUCCGAUAAAGUUUCUGUUCGGAUUUCUUGUACGUCGGCUCGGGUUGGUCAUUCAAUGAGAGGUUCCGUUUCUCUAUUCUUAAUUUCUGCUGCUUUCGUUUCCAUGACAAGUUUUGUUAAUUUGUAAAUGUUUUACUUGAAAUGAAUAUCUUGUUGCAUACUAAUUUGUUUGAGCUAUAUGCAAGCUAUUUAAGCAAUGUUUGUUUUCCCCUACUCUAUACCUUGGUGAUAUGGGAGUCGGAAGUAAUUGAUCAUUAUGAAUUUGGAAUUUUGAAUCUAUUUUAUUCUAUGGGUUUGAAAUUAUCUUUAGCUAAUCUUUUCUGUGAUUUUAAGGGCUGUGUCAGUUUGUUAAUGAAAGUGUUUUUUAGAAGAUCUUCUUUACUACUUUAGGUUUGGUAUAUGAUAGAUUGUGACUUACAUGACAUCUGAAACUCAACCUUGAUAUGAAACGGUUUUGGCAAUUGUCUUUCACUAGACAAAGAAAACUCCAUGUCUAAUCACUAACUAAAUUUCAAAUUUGUUGCCUUAGCAUUCAUGUAUUGAUGGUGUGACUGAAUCAUCCGUAAUGGUAGCUAUGGGACAUUUUUAAUUCACAAGUUUGUAAAAUGUACAUAGGUUCUUAUUAGUUCAUUUUCUUGGAUUUCAUAUCACAACUUAUUAAUUGUGUACACGUUCGCGUGACACGAGUACGAUUUAAAAAUGAAUAUUCGUAGGAAGGGCUUUAGGCGCGACUUAAUCUACCAUCGUGAUUGUGUACACAUUCGCGUGACAUGAUUAUCAUUUCUAAAAUAAAUCGGAGUAUGCGUUCGCAUAACUUCGACUAAACUUUCUUAAUAAUAACAAAACGUUAUUGAUUGUGGACACGUUCGCGUGACAUGAUUUUUAACGCGCCAAACAAAUGGGUACACGUACGCGUGACCCGUUUCAAGAUAAUUUCUUAAUUAAAAGGGGGGAUGCACAUAGGUUCUAAAAUGAGUAAUUGAGCAAUUUUAAUAUGCCAAGUAUGAUCAAAGCGACCGUGCUAGAACCAGGAACUCGGGAAUGCCUAACACCUUCUCCUGGGUUAACAGAAUUUUUUACCCAGAUUUCUGUGUUCGCAGACCGUAAAUAGAGACAACUUCCUCGAUUCGGAAUUUUAAACGGGUGACUUGGGACACCAUAAAUUAUCCCAAGUGGCGACUUUAAUUUUAAUAUAAAUAAUCCCGUUUCGAUUGUCACUUAAAUUGAAAAAACUCCCUUAUACUCUUCCGGGUGUAGUAAAAAGGAGGUGUGACAGCUCUGGUGACUCUGCUGGGGAAAAGAACCCAAAACUUCUGGUUCAAGGUUCAAGAAUUCGAGUUUGUUAAUGUGAUUUUUACUUGGCUUUAUUUAUGGUUGAUGUUACUGUAUUUUGUGAACCUAAUGUGCUAAUUGUCGUUUAUUUACCGCUUUGAUAUUAGUUGAAUUGUAUUAAACUAUCUUCUUACGCCUCCCAAACUAGGACCUUUUUCCAUAUAUAGGAAGACAUAUCACAUUGAAAGAACAAGUGUGAAAUACUUUCGUUCUCAGUAUUACAGGGUGGAUAAGCCAAUGGAACCUCCAUUUCCCAUUGUAUUAGUCUAUAUUUAGUAAGCAAUUUUUCAUGUGCCAUAAGUCUUAAUAUGAAUAUCCAUUUGGGAGCUCCUAAGUUAUUACACACUAACUUCCUCCAUGAAACCUUAGUUGUUACACCUCCUUUUUUCUAACCCGGGAGGGUAUAAGGAAGUUUUUUUCAAUUUAAGUGAUAAUCGAAACGGGAUUAUUUAUUUAAAAUCAGAGUCGCCACUUGGGAUAAUUUAUGGUGUCCCAAGUCACCGGUUCUAAAUCCCGAAUCGAUGAAAGAUUGACUCUGUUUACGAUCUGCGAACACAACAAUCCGCGUAAGGAAUUUUGUUAACCCAGGAGAAGGUGUUAGAGAUUUUCGGGUUCUGUGAUUUUAGCACGGUCGCUUUGAUCUUACUUGGCUUAAUCAAAUUGUCUAAUUACUUAUUUUAGAACCUAUGUGCAUUUGUGUCUUUUAAUUAAGAAAUUAUCUUAAAACAGGUCACGCGUACGUGUACCCAUUUGUUUGGCGCGUCAAAAAUUAUGUCACGCGAACGUGUCCACAAUUAAUAACAUUUUGUUAUUAUUAAGAAAGUUUGGCCAAAGUUGCGCGAACGCAUACUCCGGUUUUAUUUUUAGGAAUCGUAAUCAUGUCACGCGAACAUGUACACAAUCACGGUUAUAGAUUAAGUCGCGCCUAAAGCAAGCCACGAAUAUUCAUGGACUAUUUAUUCUAAAAUUAGUUUAAGAUUAUUGUGAGGUCAUGAAUUAUGGAAUAGUUGUGGAAAAAUAUAGUACUCUAGUAGUAUUAAGAAUUUAAGGUUAUUUAAAUCCCAAUCUUUUGGCAAUUCACUGCCAAAAGAUGUAGUGACUGCAUUAAUUCUUAAAGCCCAAUCUCCAUUAUCUAAUGUCAAUGGCUUACUCAUUAUUAUUUUAAUUAGGCCCCAAAUGCUAUUUUUACCCCCAAUUAGCAAAUAUGCUCGUUUUUCCCGUGCUCUGUCUCAAACAAAAUGAGACAACUCCAUCACCUUCCUACCAGUACAUAUGAUUUUGAAUCCACAAAACUACAACAACAACAACCCAGUAUAAUCUCAUUUGGUGGGGUUUGGGGAGGGUAGUGUGUAGGCAGACCUUACCCCUACCAUAGGGUAGAGAGACUGUUUUCAAAUAGACCCCCGACAUCCUUCCCUCCAAGAACUUCCCACCUUGCUCUUGGGAGACUCGAACUCACAACCUCUCAGUUGGAAGUGGGGUUGCUUACCCCUCUUGUCUAAAUCACAAAAAAAAUAUCUAAAUCAAAACGCUAAACAUUCAAGUUUACUAAUAAUGGAAAUUAAACCAACAACAAAUCCUCAAGAACAAUUAGACACAGAGUAUUAUAAAUAAAUUCAUACCCACCAAAGCCAACAAGGAAUAUACAAUUUAAAGAAAUACGAUUGAAUCAUGGCAAUAAGUAUUACUGAAACUUAAAAAUAGAAGGAACGAACCUUUGUAUCAAAUCUGAAUUUUUGAGUUUUACAGCAGGAAAAUCUCAAAAACAAACAAGAUUCAAACGGGACCUCGAAGAACCCAGGCCUUGGCCGAAUCUGGACCCGACCCAGUUUCACAUUGUUUUCAAUUCUGGACGCAAAUUUGUGGAUUGGAACGUUGCAUUUGUAACUGGGAAUGCACUGGAACUGUGAGAGAAUACGAGUGUGAAUUCGAGGGUGAAGAGAAUGAGAAAUCAAGAAAGUGCUGAAGCUUUUCGUUAGAUUUCAAGUGGCAGCCAUUUUUGUAUUUUUGUAUUUUUGUCUCUUUCUCUGUUUCUUUUUUACUCUUUUCCUUUCGUCUGUUUCCUCUCUUUCUCGUUUUCAGUCUGUGUGUGUGUUCUUGUUGGUUUUUGAGAAAAAGAUGAUGAAGAUAGGGAGGGGGAAACGGCUGUGUGUUUGGUUCUGCGGCGGAUCUGUAUAUCUAUAGGGGUCUAAACGAAGCUGAAGGUCUGGGGGGAAGGGUCUUGUGAUAGAAACGGCGCU
rnacentral:lncRNA from 1 species